CUGCAAGUGGCCUCACCAACAUCUUGUACAACAUCUAAAUGAUGUCCCAGCUCCUUUAUUCAAUGGUGUGAACAAUUAAGGUAACAACAACUUUGAAAGCC